rnacentral:tRNA from 1 species
GCCGGAGUGGCGGAAUUGGCAGACGCAAGGGACUUAAAAUCCCUCGCUCGUUAUCGAGUGUACCGGUUCGAGUCCGGUCUCCGGCACCA